GCAAGUCGAACGCACUCUCGUUUAGAUUGAAGGAGCUUGCUCCUGAUUGAUAAACAUUUGAGUGAGUGGCGGACGGGUGAGUAACACGUGGGUAACCUGCCCUAAAGUGGGGGAUAACAUUUGGAAACAGAUGCUAAUACCGCAUAAAACCUAACACCGCAUGGUGUAGGGUUGAAAGAUGGUUUCGGCUAUCACUUUAGGAUGGACCCGCGGUGCAUUAGUUAGUUGGUGAGGUAAAGGCUCACCAAGACCGUGAUGCAUAGCCGACCUGAGAGGGUAAUCGGCCACACUGGGACUGAGACACGGCCCAGACUCCUACGGGAGGCAGCAGUAGGGAAUCUUCCACAAUGGACGAAAGUCUGAUGGAGCAACGCCGCGUGAGUGAAGAAGGUUUUCGGAUCGUAAAACUCUGUUGUUGGAGAAGAAUGUAUCUGAUAGUAACUGAUCAGGUAGUGACGGUAUCCAACCAGAAAGCCACGGCUAACUACGUGCCAGCAGCCGCGGUAAUACGUAGGUGGCAAGCGUUGUCCGGAUUUAUUGGGCGUAAAGCGAGCGCAGGCGGUUUCUUAAGUCUGAUGUGAAAGCCUUCGGCUCAACCGAAGAAGUGCAUCGGAAACUGGGAAACUUGAGUGCAGAAGAGGACAGUGGAACU
rnacentral:rRNA from 1 species